rnacentral:lncRNA from 1 species
GGCAGCAGUCAUAAUGGCGUUUUCUAACAAGGUUGGAAAUGUCUUGAGGCAGGGUGCUGCUCGCAGCACACAAGCACCUGUUGCAUCCAUGCUUAAUUAUAUUCGCUGCAUGUCUUCAAGCAAGCUUUUCAUUGGAGGUAUUGACAUUUGUUGCAAUGAUUGUGAUGGAUACAAACAACGUAUGUUGAUGCUAAUUUUAUGUUUUUUUUGGUUUGGUGUUUUGAUAAUUUAGGCCUUUCGUACGGAGUUGAUGACCAGUCUCUUAAGGAUGCAUUUGCUAGUUUUGGAGACGUGGUUGAGGGUGAGUUCAGCUUCUUUCGUUAUUGUUAUCUUGUGGUCCCAUUUAGCAAUGGAGUCACCUGUUAGUAUGGGUUUACUAUAUGUUGUCUAGCUGUAGUCGGUUUCAUUAUAACAUGCAUAGUCCUUAUUAGCAGCCAGUAUAGCACAAUAGCAUUGCUGAAGUCCUCUCCAAUCUGCUAUCCUGACUCCAUUGGCAGCAGUAGAGUUUCAGCCUUCUGCCAUUUUUGCUAUCUUUUAUUGACAAUUGAUGCACCGUUAGAUUUUUAUUUGCAGCUGAGUAUGUUGCAGAAUGCCAUUGUGUCUGGGCAUAUCACCUGUGUACUUAAAGCUGCAUAGCAUUUGUAUUUUAAUUGUAAAAAUGGCUACGACAAUAUUUUGGUGCCGGUGUGUAUUCAAGAGAAAAUUUACUGGUUUGGUUAUUUGUGAAAUUGAAAUAAAAUAUUAGAAAAGUUAACCGGUCAGAUUUCUUGCCAGCACUAAAACAAUGUCAGCCUUAUCAUAUUUUUGGUUCUGGCUUACCUAUACUUGCUGGUUCUGUUUCACAGCAAGGGUUAUAACUGAUAGAGACACCGGAAGAUCAAGGGGAUUUGGAUUUGUCAACUUCUCCAGUGAUGAGUCUGCAAGUACAGCACUGUCUGCAAUGGACGGGCAGGUAAGAAUGCUCUUCUGUUUAUAUUUAGCUUUGUUGUCAUAGUCGUUGUUAGUUGACUGACUUGCUAUGGUGGCUUUUUAGGAUCUAAAUGGGCGAAACAUUAGGGUAUCUUAUGCAACUGAUAGAUCUUCUGGACCACGACCUGGUGGUGGUGGUGGUGGUUAUGCACCUCGCAAUGGCGGCGGUGGUGGUUGGUGAUCCAAUAUUUUCUAAAUUUUCUGGUGCUUGUGCUUAGUUUUGAGAUUUAAUGUUUAUGCCUAAAACUUCGAUUAAGGUAAAUUAGUAGCUAGGGGAAUGCCGUGUUUUCUUCGGUAACAUUUCUUGGUUACGUUAUUCUAACGACUUUUAUGGGAUGUGUGUUGGUUGGAUUUCUGAUUAGUUUUCAAUUAUGGGUUCAUUUAUUUGGGCCUCAAAAAUCACCGAGCCCACCCGAGGGCAUUAAAAUUCUAAUAUUGAUCUUCCGGAGCGUUACUGUCCAAUUAUUAUUAUUUGUGUGGUAGCGUAUCAAUAGAUGC